UCGCCAUCAAAAAAAUUCGAUGUUCAAAAUUCGCCAUCAAAAAAUUCAGCGUUCAAAAUUCGCCAUCAAAAAAUUCAAUGUUAAAAAAUUCGCUGUAAAAAAAUUCGCUGUUCACAUCUGGGGGACUCAGGCGUAAACAAUCGAUCCUGGCCAAAAUCGAACCAAUGCCCAGCCAAUCACGUGACGCUCCUCCGGUCAUGUGACGUAGACGGUUCACCUCACAACACCGUUGUCAACCACGGCUACUAGCAUGAACGACGGCGCUUCAGACGGGAUCUGCAGAGACUUUGAUUCAUCUGCCGUCUGGACAUGGAGUGAUGUGGGUCUCCUCCAAUCAGACAGUGGGAUGCUGCAGGUCACUAGACUGACCUCCUGUGCUUUGUGAAGGGGAGGAGCUCACAGCGCCACCUGCUGCUCGUUGAGGACAGCAACUGCAGAACGAUCCCAGCUUUCAUGUCAGACAGGGGCGGAUCUAGAUUAAUUUUAGUGGGGGGCGGGGGGCACAGGGGGUACAACAGAUAUUUUGCGAGGGGGGGUUGUAAGAAAAAAUGAAAGCUGCUACCGACCUCUCGCUUUUACAAAGUGUUUUUUCAUGGUUUUUUUUUUUGGCUCUUUAACCCAAUAGGAAAGCUGUAUAUGACCUUUUUAUUUUGGACUGUUAACAUUCAAAUUAUGAUGGACUUGUUUCCUUGUUUCUGUGAAUUACAACAUCAUUAGCUGCAACAUCUGCCUGUUCUGUAAAACUGGUAGCUCAACGACAGCAUCCUGAGGGCAAUUAAGUGACAAAUAUUGUGCAAGAACAGCACUAUUACAACCCUGACAAUUUCCACUUCUUAGAAUGUUUACUGCCAAUUAUCAUACAUAAAACAAGAAAUAAUAUUCUGUACUAAUACUUCUGUACUACCCAAUACACAGUGAAUAAAUAUUAUCUGAAA